rnacentral:rRNA from 1 species
UACGAAGGGGGCUAGCGUUGCUCGGAAUCACUGGGCGUAAAGCGUGCGCAGGCGGUUCGCUGUGUCCGAUGUGAAAGCCCCGGGCUUAACCUGGGAAUGGCAUUGGAAACUGGCGGGCUUGAGUGCGGCAGAGGGGGGUGGAAUUCCGCGUGUAGCAGUGAAAUGCGUAGAGAUGCGGAGGAACACCGAUGGCGAAGGCAGCCCCCUGGGUCGACACUGACGCUCAGGCACGAAAGCGUGGGGAGCAAACAGG